AUCCUGGGGCUGAAGUUGGUCCCAAGGGUAUGGCUGUUCGCCAUUUAAAGUGGUACGCGAGCUGGGUUUAGAACGUCGUGAGACAGUUCGGUCCCUAUCUGCCGUGGGCGUUUGAGAAUUGAGAGGAGCUGCUCCUAGUACGAGAGGACCGGAGUGGACGAACCACUGGUGUUCGGGUUGUCAUGCCAAUGGCAUUGCCCGGUAGCUAAGUUCGGAACUGAUAACCGCUGAAAGCAUCUAAGCGGGAAGCAGGCCUCGAGAUGAGUUCUCACUGGAGCUUUAAGCUCCCUGAAGGGCCGUUGGAGACUACAACGUUGAUAGGCAAGGUGUGUAAGUGCUGUGAGGCAUUGAGCUAACUUGUACUAAUUACCCGUGAGGCUUAACCAUA
rnacentral:rRNA from 1 species